GGAGAGGUGGCCGAGUGGUUUAAGGCACCCGCCUUGAAAGCGGACGAUGGUGUGAGCCAUCCGUGGGUUCGAAUCCCACCCUCUCCGCCA
rnacentral:tRNA from 1 species